AAUAAUAAUAAAAUCAACUCUAAAGAAACUGAUCAUAAAGGACUGAGUGAAGUGGAUAUUCAAUGGAGGAAGUUGAAUCAGAUGCCAUGCAAUUAUUAUUAUAAAAGUGAGGAAAGCCUUGUGAAAUAUUUGCAACUGUGUCCAAGGAAAUAUGGCUGUGGAAAAUGCUCUCUCAUAUUCAUGUCUCAUAUCAACUGCAUGAUGAGGAUGUCGCCUUUGCUCAUGCAAGUGUUGAAGAGCCGAAUGAAGAUGAACUGUUAAUGGAAGAAGAAAGGUCGAAUGAUAUAAAGCGGGAAUAUUUCGUGAAUAAUACUCAAUCUUUCACUUGUCCUACUUGUGACAAGGUAUGCACCCAACAAAGUGCUUUUUCAAGAUACCGGUGUGGAGUUUGUCAAUCACAUCAUUUGUCCUUCGAGAAUUAGCUGUAGCACAUAUUAGAUCUGUACAUCCUCUCAUGCCUUGUUAAUGUCCAUAUUGCAAGAAACGCGCAAUAAUUAUAAAAGAGGAUUUGUUCUAAUACGUGAUA